CAGCCGCCGCGGUAAACCCAGCUCUUCAAGUGKUCGGRAUAUUUAUUGGGCUUAAAGUGUCCGUAGCUUGUCUAAUAAGUUCCUGGUAAAUCUARUAGCUUAASUAUUAGUACUGCUAGGAAUACUGUUAUACUAKAGGGCGGGAGAGGUUUGAGGUACUUCAGGGGUAGGGGUGAAAUCCUAUAAUCCUUGRAGGACCACCAGUGGCGAAGGCGUCAGACURGAACGCGCCUGACAGUGAGGGACGAAAGCCAGGGGAGCGAACCGGAUUAGAUACCCGGGUAGUCCUGGCCGUAAACGAUGCACACUAGGUGUUGGUAUGGCUAUGAGCCAUAUCAGUGCCGAAGGGAAACCAUUAAGUGUGCCGCCUGGGAAGUACGGUCGCAAGGCUAAAACUUAAAGGAAUUGGCGGGGGAGCAC
rnacentral:rRNA from 1 species